AGAGUUUGAUCCUGGCUCAGAACGUACGCUGGCGGCACGCCUAACACAUGCAAGUCGAACGAAGUAGCAAUACUUAGUGGCAGACGGGUGAGUAACAUGUGGGUAUCUGCCCUUUGGCCUGGAAUAACACGAGGAAACUUGUGCUAAUACCGGAUAAGUCUUUACGGAGAAAGCUUUAUGCACCAUUGGAUGAGCCCGCACUUGAUUAGUUUGUUGGUGGGGUAAUGGCCUACCAAGACUGUGAUCAAUAGCUGAUUUGAGAGGAUGAUCAGCCACAUUGGGACUGAGACACGGCCCAAACUCCUACGGGAGGCAGCAGUGGGGAAUCUUGCACAAUGGAGGAAACUCUGAUGCAGCGAUGCCGCGUGAGUGAAGAAGGCCCUUGGGUUGUAAAGCUCUUUCGUCGGGGAAGAAAAUGACUGUACCCGAAUAAGAAGGUCCGGCUAACUUCGUGCCAGCAGCCGCGGUAAUACGAAGGGACCUAGCGUAGUUCGGAAUUACUGGGCUUAAAGAGUUCGUAGGUGGUUGAAAAAGUUAGUGGUGAAAUCCCAGAGCUUAACUCUGGAACUGCCAUUAAAACUUUUCAGCUAGAGUAUGAUAGAGGAAAGCAGAAUUUCUAGUGUAGAGGUGAAAUUCGUAGAUAUUAGAAAGAAUACCAAUUGCGAAGGCAGCUUUCUGGAUCAUUACUGACACUGAGGAACGAAAGCAUGGGUAGCGAAGAGGAUUAGAUACCCUCGUAGUCCAUGCCGUAAACGAUGUGUGUUAGACGUUGGAAAUUUAUUUUCAGUGUCGCAGCGAAAGCGAUAAACACACCGCCUGGGGAGUACGACCGCAAGGUUAAAACUCAAAUGAAUUGACGGGGACCCGCACAAGUAGUGGAGCAUGUGGUUUAAUUCGAAGAUACGCGCAGAACCUUACCAACACUUGACAUGUUCGUCGCGACUCUAAGAGAUUAGAGUUUUCGGUUCGGCCGGACGAAACACAGGUGCUGCAUGGCUGUCGUCAGCUCGUGUCGUGAGAUGUUGGGUUAAGUCCCGCAACGAGCGCAACCCUCACUUUUAGUUGCCAUCAUUAAGUUGGGCACUCUGAAAGAACUGCCAGUGAUAAGCUGGAGGAAGGUGGGGAUGACGUCAAGUCCUCAUGGCCCUUACGUGUUGGGCUACACACGUGCUACAAUGGUAUCUACAACAGGAAGCAAGACUGCGAGGUCAAGCAAAUCCUUAAAAGAUACCUCAGUUCGGAUUGCACUCUGCAACUCGAGUGCAUGAAGCUGGAAUUACUAGUAAUCGUGGAUCAGCGUGCCACGGUGAAUGCGUUCCCGGGUCUUGUACACACCGCCCGUCACACCAUGGGAGUUGGUUCUACCUUAAGGCAAGGUUUCAAACCCUUGACCACGGUAUAGUCAGCGACUGGGGUGAAGUCGUAACAAGGUAACC
rnacentral:rRNA from 1 species